rnacentral:rRNA from 1 species
GAUGAACGCUGGCUACAGGCUUAACACAUGCAAGUCGAGGGGAAACGACGGGGAAGCUUGCUUCCCCGGGCGUCGACCGGCGCACGGGUGAGUAACGCGUAUCCAACCUGCCUCUGACUGAGGGAUAACCCGUCGAAAGUCGGCCUAAUACCUCAUGGCAUCGUCUGCGGGCAUCCAACGACGAUUAAAGAUUUCAUCGGUCAGGGAUGGGGAUGCGUCUGAUUAGCUAGUUGGCGGGGUAACGGCCCACCAAGGCGACGAUCAGUAGGGGUUCUGAGAGGAAGGGCCCCCACAGUGGAACUGAGACACGGUCCAAACUCCUACGGGAGGCAGCAGUGAGGAAUAUUGGUCAAUGGGCGAGAGCCUGAACCAGCCAAGUAGCGUGCAGGAUGACGGCCCUAUGGGUUGUAAACUGCUUUUAUGCGGGGAUAAAGUGAGGGACGUGUCCUUCAUUGCAGGUACCGCAUGAAUAAGGACCGGCUAAUUCCGUG